AAUUAUAGAAACGGGUGACUAUUUUCAGGUUAUGCAAAUCAAUCUAAAAUACACAUGGUGAAAUAUUUGCUAUUAUAACUUAUGAUAUUGCACCAAACAUCAAGUUUCCUAGAUUUUACUAUUUAUCUGCAGCUAAUCCAACACGAAACAGCUGCAGACUAAUCAAAAUUUUGAAUCUAACAAUACAGAUGUAAAAAUUACAAAUAUGUAAACAGUCUUCGCUUCGGUGUUGAUAUUUGUUUUU
rnacentral:lncRNA from 1 species